rnacentral:rRNA from 1 species
UACGAGGGGGGCAAGUGUUGUUCGGAAUCACUGGGCGUAAAGGGUGCGUAGGCGGGCUCUUAAGUUGGAUGUUUAAAACCGGGGCCCAACCCCGGCGUGGCAUCCAAAACUGGGAGUCUUGAAUGGAACAGAGGCUAGUGGAAUUGGAGGUGUAGCGGCGGAAUGCGUAGAGAUCUCCAAGAACACCCGUUGCGAAGGCGGCUAGCUGGGUUCACAUUGACGCUGAGGCUCGAAAGCGUGGGGAGCAAACAGG